GCCUAGGUCGACAGGGGUGGCGCUGCGGCCUUGGCCAUCUGAGGUGUUGACGCACGGCUCCAGUGUCCUAGGUAGGCAUGGUGGUGAGGACUCGGUAGUGAUGCUGCCGUCUGCCAACAGUUGAGGAUGUGAGCUCAGAUAUGACCACGCCUCCAAGUCCAAGGUAGUGUACUACAUCACGCAUCUGCAUUUCCAAGCAUUCGUUCUACUGCUGACCCCUCUGUGGUUAUAGGGGAAGAUGGUGUGGAAGGGGAACAUGGUGGAGUAGGGUCGUCUGUCCUUGAUCCAGCCAAGGGUGUUGCGGAGAGGGCCGCCUGUCCUCGAUCCGACCAAGGCCGGUAGAUCCAACGACGUCUUCUGUUGGACUGCCACUACUUCACCAUGGUGGCUGGCUGUGCAAAGGAUGGUUGGUUGGUUGAAAGUGUCGAUCUGAUUCCGCGUCUACUGGUUCCUCCGACGGGCUUUGCUGGUCGGGCGUCGCAAUCUGAUGUGCCUUUUGUAGAUGCGGCCAGGAUUUCCCUGUUGAGGUAUUGCUUUUUUUUUCUUUAAUUUUUAUUAGCAGCAUGUUGUUUUGAACAAUAUCCAUGUGUUCUGAGUAAGUUGUCUUUUUCCAAUAGAGGAUAUAUUGAGUUUUUCAUAACAGCAUGUGUUUACUAGGAAUAUUUUUCAUAGCUAGCAGCCUGUAUAUAGCAAUUUUUAUUAUCAAUAGAGAGGGUGUUCAAUUACAUCCAUGUUGCUGUCAGCUUGUUUUACUGAAUAUUGCUAGUCUCAUUCUUCGGUUUGAGACAACCUGAUGAAGUUUUAGGUGCUAGCCAUUGCCAGAUGCCACUGCCGGCACAAAGUAGCGAUAAUUAUAUCUACCCCACUCCUAAAGCAAAAAAAAUAGUAUUUUUGUAGUUUCUUUUGGAGAGCAAAAUUCAUACGCACCUUGUUUUCUCUUUCUGAGGAAGUGAGGAACAAGUGUCCUGAUCAAAUUCAUCAGCAUAGAUUUAUGUAGUUCUUAAUCUUAAUGUGAUGUACUUCAAGAAUUAGAAUAGAAUAUAGAACAUCUAUCUCUGUUACCAAUUAUUCAAAGUACCUGCAUGCAUUUCUUUUGUUUUGGCUGAAUCAAAUUAAUCUAUAGUAGCAAGCUUUCAGAUUUUCUUUUUGGUUAGUUCGGUAGCUGCAAGAGAGCAGCUGAGAAGCCACCUUUCUUAAUUCCUAUUGUUAUAGUGAAUGUACUAUAUUCUGAAUGCAUUUGCUCGCUUAGUUAUUCAGUAUUCCAAGUUUAUCCAAAUUAAUUAAAUGAGUAUUCCAAUGAGUGUCUAUAUGGGCUGUGGUGGGCUGGUGGCAGUGGCAUCUCAAAUGAAUACUAGAUUUGCAGUAUGCAAAAUGAAUUUCAGUUGCUAGCUGCUAGCCUUAGAUUGCAUAGGUCGUUGCAAUCAUUUUCCAACUUUGUAAUCCCUUGCUUAAAUUUAUAUUCAAUGCCAUGUAGCUUGUAUCUAGAAAAUGGGUUAUGGUAUAUGCAAGUAUCUUUUUACUUUGGUACAUGCUAUAUAAAGUUUGCCACAUUUGGCAGAGAGAAAUAAAGAUAUACAGAAACUUCUGUACUGCUUGCUGCUGAUGUGACCAAAGACGGGCAUAGAUAAGGUGUGCUUAAUAUUGUUUUUUCGUCUGUUCCAAAUAUCUUUCUUCUCUUGCAGUCUUUUUCUAAUGGAUGUAUGUUUUCUAACUUGGAUGUAGGCAAGGAAUAAGAGAUCUAAGUUUGGCUUGACCUGACUUUCAAAUUUAUUACUUAUUUGCAUCUUGUGGCAGCCGGGCCUGUUUUGGUGUUUCACUUAAAAGAAACUCUCAAUUGUUUGGUAGUUAUGGAAAGAUGGACCAAAAAUAGAUGGACAAAAAAAUUAGAUUGAAAUUUUGCCUCUUUAUUAUUAGGUGUAGAUAUAGAUUUGCAUCUUAUGGCUGCCUGGCCUGGUUUGGUGUUUGUUGUUUACCACAGUUGGUGACUUUGUAAUAUGAGCAUAUUGUUAUGUAUUUGACUUGAUUUAUAUGGGCUCGACAUUAUAAUAUAAUAAUUAUAUAUGAUUGGUUAUGUGGUUUAUAAUGUGUGACUAAAUUUUAACUGUGCAAGCCCACAAUAUGGGUUAGAAUUGUAAUGUUGGGUUGUAAUAAAAAAAGAAAUGUCAAUUUGUAGUUGGACCGAAAAUAUUUGUGCGAUUUGG
rnacentral:lncRNA from 1 species